UACGUAGGCAGCGAGCGUUGUUCGGAGUUACUGGGCGUAAAGCGUGCGUAGGCGGUGUCUUAAGUUUGUUGUGAAAUCUCCCGGCUUAACCGGGAGGGUGCGGCGAAUACUGAGAUGCUGGAGUGCCGGAGAGGUAAGCGGAAUUCCUGGUGUAGCGGUGAAAUGCGUAGAUAUCAGGAGGAACACCUGCGGUGUAGACGGCUUACCGGACGGUAACUGACGCUGAGGCACGAAAGCGUGGGUAGCAAACAGG
rnacentral:rRNA from 1 species